AGGAGGAACAGCCCCAGUGGCGGGGCAGCUCUGGAAACCUGGAUUCAGCCCCCGCAGGAACUCCGGAGCUCUAGGUCUGCAGGGCCUGGAGGCUCCGGGGCGGG
rnacentral:pre_miRNA from 1 species